UACGUAGGGUGCGAGCGUUGUCCGGAAUUAUUGGGCGUAAAGAGCUCGUAGGCGGUGUGUCACGUCGGCCGUGAAAACCUGCAGCUUAACUGUGGGCGUGCGGUCGAUACGGGCAUCACUGGAGUUCGGCAGGGGAGACUGGAAUUCCUGGUGUAGCGGUGAAAUGCGCAGAUAUCAGGAGGAACACCGGUGGCGAAGGCGGGUCUCUGGGCCGAUACUGACGCUGAGGAGCGAAAGCGUGGGGGAGCAAACAAG
rnacentral:rRNA from 1 species